UAUUUGUUCCCUUUCCAUUUUCUUCAUUAGCUUUCUUUAUAUAUAUAUAUGUAUUCCCCGAUCCAAAAAAACCUUUCUUCGUAUCUGUUCCUUUUUCAUUUUCUUCAUCCGUUUUUUUUGGCAUAUUCUCUAUCAAAAAGUAGUAGUUGUUUUGUAUUCAAAGUUUUCCCCAGCUGCAAAGUUGUUGUUGUUUUGUAUUCAAAGUUUUUUCCAGCUGCUGUUUAUUGCAAGGUUUUUUUGAGUGUUCUGAUAUUUUCUCUGAUCUGUAUUUUCACAUCGUAAUUUUGGUAAGUGUUAUUUUUUCAUUUAUUUUGAUUGUUGUAAUAAAUUCUUCUUUCACUCCGUAAUUUUUUAAUUUAUCCGUUUCUUCUUUUAUUUGUUAUUCCUCAAUCAUUUUCUUAUUCGGUUAAUUUGAAUUAUUUUUUUAUUUUUUUUGGUUUUUUUAGUGUCGUCCUGUUGUUACCUAAUUUUGGCAAGUAUUAUUUUUUACUUAUUAUCAUUGCCACAUUAAAUUCGGGUUUUCAUUUGUUUAUUUUACAUCUGCUAGUUUGUUUGUUGUUUUUCAAUGCAUUUAUUUAUUUAUUUAUUAAUUUACAUAAUUUUAAUGUCGUGCCUUAGAUUUAAGGUUUUAAUACUUUUUGUAUGAAUACACUGUAAUAUAAAAUUACAGUGAUGUCUGAAAAACGCGAUAACAGAGAUCGAACUGAUGAUAGUAUAAUCGCUAGUAAAAGAAUUAUAUAGGUUGAUGGCACCUGAUAAGAAAAAGUACUUGUUAGCUCGACAACGAGCAAACAAAGUUGAAGCAAAAAAACGUCUUUUGUCUGAAAGUUCAAACGUCAGCAAUUUGACUCCGCCUUUUCUUAGGCAACCACUUCUUUCGCAGAACAAGCUUUUUCUGUUGUAAGACACUCGUACCUUCUUGGUGAAACAGGUAACGACUUCUUCAUCUACCAAAAUUAAAGGUAAAGGUAGUUAAAACUUUUAAAAACAUCUCUACUGUAAAAAUUGAUUUAAAUUUGAUAUAAAACCAACUUUAUUGAUUGCUAUUAUUUAUUAUCAGGAUCAACAUCGGCUACAAAGAGUUCACAAAUGAAGAUCCAAUAACGAAUAUAAUACAAGUUGAUACACAAAUUGAUGGCUCAAGUGGUGUACAAACACAAAUUAACUAUAUUUAUCUUAAAGCUGUUCCUAAUUGUAAAUUUUGUGGCGUAAAAAAAUUUGAAUAUGAAUCUUUUGGGUUUUGCUGUAGUAAUGGUUCUGUACAUUUAAUUUCUUAUGAAAUGCCUCAUGAAUUGAGAAAUCUUUAUUUA